rnacentral:rRNA from 1 species
UACGAGGGGGGCGAGCGUUGUUCGGAAUUAUUGGGCGUAAAGGGUGCGUAGGCGGCUUGGUAAGUCUGAUGUGAAAUCUAUGGGCUCAACUCAUAGUCUGCAUCGGAAACUGCCGGGCUUGAGUGUGGGAGAGGUGAGUGGAAUUCCUGGUGUAGCGGUGAAAUGCGUAGAUAUCAGGAGGAACACCUGUGGCGAAAGCGGCUCACUGGACCACAACUGACGCUGAUGCACGAAAGCUAGGGGAGCAAACAGG